CAGCAGCCGCGGUAAUACGGAGGGUGCAAGCGUUAAUCGGAAUUACUGGGCGUAAAGCGCACGCAGGCGGUCUGACAAGUCAGAUGUGAAAUCCCCGGGCUUAACCUGGGAACUGCAUUUGAAACUGUCAGGCUGGAGUCUUGUAGAGGGGGGUGGAAUUCCAGGUGUAGCGGUGAAAUGCGUAGAGAUCUGGAGGAAUACCGGUGGCGAAGGCGGCCCCCUGGACAAAGACUGACGCUCAGGUGCGAAAGCGUGGGGAGCAAACAGGAUUAGAUACCCCUGUAGUCCUGUCUCUUAUACA
rnacentral:rRNA from 1 species